GACACAUUUGAGAUUCAUUCCAAUUUUAUAAAUGGCUUCUUGCAACUCCUAAAAUCCAAAAACUAUUUAAUUAAAGUUAACAAUGCAUGAAAUUUUACUUAUAAAGUGCUAGAAAAAUUGUUUAUUACAUGCAAAAAAGCAUGAAAAAUAUGGCUCAAAUUCUCAUGUUUGUUUAUGCUUUGAUUAUGUUUCUUUCUCUAUUUCCUAUUGUAACUAGUGGUGCUCGCAUUCCUUGCCUUACUGACGAUGAUUGUCCAAUAGCAGAUUUACCUAUUGUUAUGAAGUGCAUUGAUAAUUUUUGUCGGUUUGACCUAGUUGGGAUAUCUCCACUUCAUCCUUUGCAACUCAUUGAUUUAUGAAAAAUAUAAACAAAAAUACAAAGAGCACAAAAAUACAAAGAGCAAAUUAAUUAAAUGUAUUGGAUUUAAUGGUUAGUUGUAAUCGAUUUCAUAUAGA